rnacentral:rRNA from 1 species
ACUCCUACGGGAGGCAGCAGUUAGGAAUAUUCGGCAAUGGGGGAAACCCUGACCGAGCGACACUGCGUGAAGGAGGAAGGCCUUAGGGUUGUAAAACUUCUGAACGAGAGACGAUAAUGACGGUAUCUCGGUAAUAGCACCGGCUUAACUCCGUGCCAGCAGCCGCGGUAAUACGGAGGGUGCGAGCGUUAUCCGGAAUCACUGGGCGUAAAGGGCGCGUAAGGCGGUUACAUAAGUCCGAUGUUAAAGCGUAGGGCUCAAACCCUAUAAAAGGCGUUGGAUACUGUGAAACUAGACUUCUGGAGAGGUAAGUGGAAAUUACCAGAGUAGCGGUGAAAUGCGUAGAUACUGGUAGGAACACCAUAGCGAAGGCAGCUUACUGGACAGAGAGUGACGCUGAGGCGCGAAAGUGUGGGGAGCAAAACCGGAUUAGAUACCCUGGUAGGUCA